rnacentral:lncRNA from 1 species
GGCCACGAGCAUCACUGAAGAGAUAUGUAUUGUCGAAAUGCGCAUCUGGUGCAAGAAAAUUGGUACCGUUAAUUUUAUUAGAAUCUUAUAAUGUGUGGUGGAUAUUUUACAAUGAGUGGACUCGGAUUUAAAAAGCCUGUGAAUAUUUGUUGGAUAAAACAAUAUUCUCCGGAUAGAGUACACUGGCGGAGCCAAACCACUAUUACACAUAUUCGGUCGACAAACACAGAUCAAAAACAAUACACUCCAGAAAAAAUUA